AAACACUGACAAUUCACUCCCCAUAAAUCCUUCCAUUCUCCUCUAAAAACCCUCGCUAUAAAUCCCUCCGCUCUACGUCCAAAAACAAAGGGAUCUUUUUAGGAGCGACUCUUGUCGAGUUCAGACUAGAAGAGUCUUUCAGACAAACAGAGAAGCCGAAGCGAAGAUCGAUCGAUCCAUCGACAAAAAAUGGUUGAGUCAGUGAAACCCAUCUCCAGCCCCGUCCCCGACGCUUGGUACCCAACCCUAUCCGUUUUGAUGCUCUCCAUCGGCCUUGUCAUCACCGCUGCUUUCUUCAUAUAAUCCAAUCUUCCAUGCAUGGACAAAGCACAUUGAAGUGGAGUAGCACUUCAUUCGAGAAAAGAUUCUUCACAAACAACUUAUAGUUCAUCAUAGUGGUUUUUUCAAUAAGCUGGCAGAUAUAUUUACCAAGGCUCUUCCAGUUAGCAGAUUUCAAGUCCUGAAAUCCAACCUAAUCAUCUCUGAUGUUCCCAUUAGCUUGAGGUGGGGAUGCUAGUGAAUCUGAAGUUGCUCAAGUAAUUCUACAUUCAGUCUCAGUUGUUUAAGUAGGUUGUCCAGUUAGUCUAGAACAUCAGUUUGUUAGGGCAAGUUGUCAGUUAAAUGGAAGUUUCUUGUCAGUUAGAGCUAGUUAUCAGUCGAUUGAGUGGUUGUAACAGAAAAGGGAGGGAGAGCUGAUUUCAGUAUAUAAAGGAAGAGAGAUGGUUUGUAUCACAUUGAAGCUGUGUUGGUUGUCUUCUUCUCACAAUCAUGAAACUGUGUUAGAUUUAGGAGUCAUGUAUGGACAUUCAAAUUCGCACAAUUGUUUGGUUUAACCCACUCCUCAAAAAAUUGAGUUUUUUUGUUUUUAGUGAUUUUUUUUUAAUAUUUUACACUAUUUUUUUUAUUUUUUACAUACGCAUAAUCUAGAUACACUUUAAAAGUAUAAUAUUUGUGAA